UGAAGGUGAUGCCUGCCCAGUGACUCACGUUUAACGGCCGACGGUAUCCUAACCGUGCAAAGGUAGCGCAAUCAAUUGUCCCAUAAAUCGAGACUUGUAUGAAUGGCUAAACGAGGUCUUAACUGUCUCUUACAGGCAAUCGGUGAAAUUGAUCUCCCUGUACAAAAGCAGGGAUAAACCCAUAAGACGAGAAGACCCUGUGGAACUUCAAAACCAACGACCACCUUAAAACACAUACACACCCACCGGGUUCACUGCUGCAUAAGUUGCUGGUCCGCGUUUUUCGGUUGGGGCGACCUUGGAGCAAAACAAAACCUCCAAAAAUUAGACCAUAACUCUAGACUAAGAGCGACCUCUCAACGUGCUAAUAGUACCCAGACCCAAUAUAAUUGAUCAAUGGACCAAGCUACCCCAGGGAUAACAGCGCAAUCUCCUCCGAGAGUCCAUAUCGACGAGGAGGUUUACGACCUCGAUGUUGGAUCAGGACAUCCUAGUGGUGCAGCCGCUACUAAG
rnacentral:rRNA from 1 species